AUUGAACGCUGGCGGCAGGCCUAACACAUGCAAGUCGAGCGGAGCGGCGGACGGGUGAGUAAUGCAUAGGAAUCUGCCUGGUAGUGGGGGAUGACGUCAGUAAACGGGCGCUAAUACAGCAUACUGUCCGAUGAGACUAGGUCGGAUUAGCAAGUUGGUGGGGUAAAGGCCUACAAAGGCGACGAUCCGUAACUGGUCUGAGAGGAGGAUCAGUCACACUGGAACUGAGACACGGUCCAGACUCCUACGUGAGGCAGCAGUGGGGAAUAUUGGACAAUGGGCGAAAGCCUGAUCCAGCCAUGCCGCGUGUGUGAAGAAGGUCUUCGGAGUGUAAAGCACUUUAAGUUGGGAGGCGUUACCAACAGAAUAAGCACCGGCUAACUUCGUGCCAGCAGCCGCGGUAAUAC
rnacentral:rRNA from 1 species